rnacentral:misc_RNA from 1 species
GACAGUAAUUAGAAUGCCAUCCACAUAUACAAGACAAUAAGCUUACAUGUCACCUUUUUUGUAGAUAAAGAGAGAAGCAUCGGCAUUUGACUUGACAAAAUGGAGCUGUUCCAAGGCAAAUUUUGAUUUGUUGUACCAUUGCCUCGAAGCUUGAUGCAAACAUAUAGAGAACUUUUAAAUUUACAGAUAUGAUGGGGCUUGUCUGGAUCAACAAGGCUAGGAGGUUGAGACAUAAAAAUAUCAUCAUCUAGAUCACCAUGUAAAAAGGCAUUUGAUAUAUCAAGUUGUUGAACUAACCAAUUGCUAGUUACUACCAAGGAUAAAACAACUCGAAUAGC